rnacentral:rRNA from 1 species
CAGAGACUGCAAGCGUUAUUCGGAUUCACUGGGCGUAAGGGUGCGCAGGCGGUCGUGUGUGUCAGAUGUGAAAUCCCGGAGCUUAACUCCGGAACUGCGUCUGAAACUACACGACUAGAGCAUUGGAGAGGGAAGUGGAAUUCAUGGUGUAGCAGUGAAAUGCGUAGAUAUCAUGAGGAACACCAGAGGCGAAGGCGACUUCCUGGACAAUUGCUGACGCUCAGGCACGAAAGCAUGGGGAGCAAAAGGGAUUAGAUACCCCUGUAGUCCAUGCCCUAAACGGUGCACACUAGGUCUUGGAGGAUUCGACCCCUUCAGGGCCCAAGCUAACGCGUUAAGUGUGCCGCCUGAGGACUACGGUCGCAAGACUA